rnacentral:lncRNA from 1 species
CAUGAAAAACAACUGAAAGCAUUUUAAUGAGGAUUUCUUAAGUCUGGAAUCUGGGUACUUCCAGUCUUAGGCCAAAGCCACGCUUUUUUUUUUUUAACAGAGUCUUGCUCUGUCCCCAGACUGGACUGCAGUGGCGAUCUCAGCUCACUGCAACCUCCGACUCCUGGUUUCAAGCCAUUCUCUUGCCUUAGCCUCCCGAGUAGCUGGGGUUACAGGCACGCACCACCACACCCAGUUAAUUUUUGUAUUUUUAGUAAAGAUGGGGUUUCACCAUGUUGGCCAGGAGGCUGAGGCAGGACAAUGGCGUAAACCCGGGAG